rnacentral:rRNA from 1 species
CACGUAGGUGGCAAGCGUUGUCCGGAUUUAUUGGGUUUAAAGGGUGCGUAGGCGGUCUUAUAAGUCAGUGCUGAAAUAUCCCGGCUUAACCGGGAGGGUGGCAUUGAUACUGUAGGACUUGAGUAAAGUUGAGGUUGGCGGAAUUGACGGUGUAGCGGUGAAAUGCUUAGAUAUAACACAGAACACCAAUUGCGAAGGCAGCUUACUGGCAUGUAACUGACGCUGAUGCACGAAAGCGUGGGUAGCAAACAGG